rnacentral:rRNA from 1 species
GACGAACGCUGGCGGCGUGCUUAACACAUGCAAGUCGAACGGAAAGGCCCUGCUUUUGUGGGGUGCUCGAGUGGCGAACGGGUGAGUAACACGUGAGUCACCUGCCCUAGACGUUGGGAACACUUCAGGAAACUGGGGCUACUACCGGAUAGGAGCUCCUGCUGCAUGGUGGGGGUUGGAAAGUUUCGGCGGUUGGGGAUGGACUCGCGGCUGAUCAGGCUGUGGGUGGGGUAGUGGCUUACCAAGGAUGUGACCGGUAGUCGGCCUGAGAGGGUGGCCGGGCACAGUGGGAGUGAGAAGCUGGCGAGACACGUACGGGAGGGAGAAGUGGGGAAUAUGGGAACAUGGGCGGAAGCCUGAUGCAGCGACGGCGCGUGGGGGAUGACGGCCUUCGGGUGGUAAACUCCUUUCGAGCGCGAGGAAGCCACCUGGUUGGAAGGGUGGUGACGGUAGUGGGAGAAGAAGCACCGGCUAACUACGGG